AUUGAACGCUGGCGGCAUGCCUUACACAUGCAAGUCGAACGGCAGCGCGGGAGCAAUCCUGGCGGCGAGUGGCGAACGGGUGAGUAAUAUAUCGGAACGUGCCCUGUAGCGGGGGAUAACCUAUCGAAAGAUGGACUAAUACCGCAUACGCUCUACGGAGGAAAGCGGGGGUCGCAAGACCUCGCACUACAGGAGCGGCCGAUAUCGGAUUAGCUAGUUGGCGGGGUAAAAGCCCACCAAGGCUACGAUCCGUAGCUGGUCUGAGAGGAUGAUCAGCCACACUGGAACUGAGACACGGUCCAGACUCCUACGGGAGGCAGCAGUGGGGAAUUUUGGACAAUGGGCGCAAGCCUGAUCCAGCCAUGCCGCGUGAGUGAAGAAGGCCUUCGGGUUGUAAAGCUCUUUCGGCAGGAACGAAAUGGUUCGUGCUAAUACCACGGACUGAUGACGGUACCUGAAGAAGAAGCACCGGCUAACUACGUGCCAGCAGCCGCGGUAAUACGUAGGGUGCAGGCGUUAAUCGGAAUUACUGGGCGUAAAGCGUGCGCAGGCGGUUUCUUAAGUCAGAUGUGAAAGCCCCGGGCUUAACCUGGGAAUUGCGUUUGAAACUGGGAGACUUGAGUGUGGCAGAGGGGGGUGGAAUUCCACGUGUAGCAGUGAAAUGCGUAGAUAUGUGGAGGAACACCCA
rnacentral:rRNA from 1 species